AGAGUUUGAUCAUGGCUCAGGACGAACGCUGGCGGCGUGCUUAACACAUGCAAGUGGAGCGACGAACCAGGGCUUGCCCUGGGGCAGAGCCGCGAACGGGUGAGUAACACGUGGGUUACCUGCCUCGAUGACUGGGACAACCCGAGGAAACUCGGGCUAAUACCGGAUGUGCCCGCAAGGGGAAAGGAAGCUUCGGCCUCCGCAUCGAGAUGGGCCCGCGGCCCAUUAGCUUGUUGGUGUGGUAACGGCUCACCAAGGCGACGAUGGGUAGCUGGUCUGAGAGGACGAUCAGCCACACUGGGACUGAGACACGGCCCAGACUCCUACGGGAGGCAGCAGUGGGGAAUCUUGCGCAAUGCGCGAAAGCGUGACGCAGCAACGCCGCGUGGGGGAAGACGGCCUUCGGGUUGUAAACCCCUUUCAGGAGGGACGAAGGUUCACCGGUGAAUAGCCGUGUGGAUUGACGGUACCUCCACAAGAAGCUCCGGCUAACUACGUGCCAGCAGCCGCGGUAAUACGUAGGGAGCAAGCGUUGUCCGGAAUCAUUGGGCGUAAAGCGCGCGUAGGUGGCUUCGUAAGUCCGUUGUGAAAGUCAAAGGCUCAACCUUUGAAUGCCGAUGGAUACUGCGGAGCUAGAGUACGGAAGAGGCGAGUGGAAUUCCUGGUGUAGCGGUGGAAUGCGCAGAUAUCAGGAGGAACACCAAUAGCGAAGGCAGCUCGCUGGGACGUUACUGACACUAAGGCGCGAAAGCGUGGGGAGCGAACAGGAUUAGAUACCCUGGUAGUCCACGCCGUAAACGAUGGGUACU
rnacentral:rRNA from 1 species